rnacentral:rRNA from 1 species
CCUACGGGUGGCAGCAGUGGGGCAUAUUGCACAAUGGGGGAAACCCUGAUGCAGCGACGCCGCGUGCGUGACGACGUAAUUCGUUACGUAAAGCUCUAUCCGCAGGGCAGAAACACUGACCUUCCGGUCAGCCGCCGGUACCUGAGUAAGAAGCCCCUGCUAACUACGUGCCAGCAGCCGCGGUAAUACGUAGGGGGCAAGCGUUAGCCGGAUUUACUGGGUGUAAAGGGAGCGUAUACGGUGCGCCAAGUCUGGAGUGAAAGGCCGCAGCUUAACUGCGGAACUGUUUUGGAAACUGGCGAACUAGAGUGCGGGAGGGGUAAGCGGAAUGCCUAGUGUAGCGGUGAAAGGCGUAGAUAUUAGGAGGAACACCGGUGGCGAAGGCGGCUUACUGGACCGUAACUGACGUUGAGGCUCGAAAGCGUGGGGAGCAAACAGGAUUAGAUACCCGAGUAGUC